rnacentral:rRNA from 1 species
GGUGAAAAGAACCCCGGGAGGGGAGUGAAAAAGAACAUGAAACCGUGAGCUUACAAGCAGUGGGAGUCCGAUUAAACGGAUGACCGCGUGCCUGUUGAAGAAUGAGCCGGCGACUUAUAGGUACUGGUAGGUUAAAGCGGGAAUGCUGGAGCCAAAGGGAAACCGAGUCUGAAAAGGGCGCUAAUCAGUAUUUAUAGACCCGAACCCUGGUGAUCUAACCAUGGCCAGGAUGAAGCUUGGGUAAAACCAAGUGGAGGUCCGAACCGACCGAUGUUGAAAAAUCGGCGGAUGAGCGGUGGUUAGGGGUGAAAUGCCAAUCGAACCAGGAGCUAGCUGGUUCUCCCCGAAAUGUGUUGAGGCG